AUACGUAGGUGGCAAGCGUUGUCCGGAUUUAUUGGGCGUAAAGCGAGCGCAGGCGGUUUUUUAAGUUCUGAUGUGAAAGCCUUCGGCUUAACCGGAGAAGUGCAUCGGAAACUGGGAGACUUGAGUGCAGAAGAGGAGAGUGGAACUCCAUGUGUAGCGGUGGAAAUGCGUAGAUAUAUGGAAGAACACCAGUGGCGAAGGCGGCUCUCUGGUCUGUAACUGACGCUGAGGCUCGAAAGCGUGGGUAGC
rnacentral:rRNA from 1 species